GGUGACGUGUCUGAGCGGCCUAAGGAGCACGAUUGGAAGUCGUGUGUGCGUGCAAGCGCACCGUGGGUUCAAAUCCCACCGUCACCG
rnacentral:tRNA from 1 species